rnacentral:rRNA from 1 species
GACGAACGCUGGCGGCGUGCUUAACACAUGCAAGUCGAGCGGUAAGGCCCUUUCGGGGGUACGACGAGCGGCGAACGGGUGAGUAACACGUGGGUGACCUGCCUCUAGCUCUGGGAUAAGCCUGGGAAGCUGGGUCUAAUACCGGAUAUGACCUCGCGGUGCAUGUUGCGGGGUGGAAAGCCUUGUGCGGCUAGGGAUGGGCCCGCGGCCUAUCAGCUUGUUGGUGGGGUGANGGCCCUACCAAGGCGACGACGGGUAGCCGGCCUGAGAGGGCGACCGGCCACACUGGGACUGAGACACGGCCCAGACUCCUACGGGAGGCAGCAGUGGGGAAUCUUGCGCAAUGGGCGAAAGCCUGACGCAGCGACGCCGCGUGAGGGAUGACGGCCU